GUGUUUCUUCAUGUCAGACUUCUGGUGAAACCUCUUGCCGCAGUACUGGCAGGGGUAAGGCCGCGUGUCGGAGUGGAUGAGGAGCUGCCAACUGCUCGGAAACCAAAGGGCACGUGGGAAAUGUCUGCAGCAGCCAGGGAUCUCGACAAAGGGAUGGAGAGGGUGUUGUACACUUGGUCCCGCAGACUCCCUGACAUUAGGGCAUCUGAAAGAGACUGAGGAGAAAGGAGCAAGAAGAAUGAGAUAUAUUCAUGUUAGAUAAAGGGUUCAGUGGAUUCACUUUGCACAGAAAUAGAGCGGACAAUCCCUGACCGGUGAUUUGAGGUCAGUGUGCGACGUGUGGUUGAGCAGCAAGAAGACGAGCCUCUCCAGUUCUCUCUC